AGUCAGUUUUAAUUCGAAGUGAGGUUUGGAUCGGUCUCAAUCUCGGCUACGAAUGGUAAAAACUUGUGCGAUAUUUUUAAGUGUAUUAGUGCUUUAAUCAUUUUUUUUAUUUGGAUUAUUUAGUUGUGCCUACUAGAGGUUAUUUUUAUACAACCCUUAGUUUCAUUUUAUUUUUUUUUGCUGUACAUAUUGAAAUCAUGAGCCUUUUUUGAUGCGGAACAGACGGAACGAGUUUUUUGUUGGUAUUGUCUAACUUUACAAGAGAGGAACACAACUUUUUUUGAACUUUUCUAGUCAAAAUUGGAUGGUUGGAAAACAUUAGAAAGUGCUGUGGAAAGGAAAGUUCUACCAGUUUCCACUGACAACUACUGUUGGCAGAAGUAUGCAGCUCGCAUCCACUAAAAACUACUCCACUUAUGUCUUCAUGGACCCAUAUUCCCCCGCGGAAUCCGCUAUCCUAUCUGAUUGGUUGGUGGUUCAAGAUGACUAGUUGAGCUCUUCUGGUUAUUUUAUUAAGUUGUCGUCGAUUGGGUACCAAUCUUUUGCGUUGCACUUAUGUGUCCGUAGUGACACGUUCUACUUUACUUGUUGCUUUCCAUUCGUUUUCAGAUUUAUGCACCGCCUCGACCAAGGUCUCAGGUAUGAUACCUUCAUACAGCUUGGCUUCCAGCUCAUGUUAAAUCUUGGGCAAAGCAAAGAGUUGUGUUCUGGAAAGUAUCUAUCGAAGAAAUUUGUGGUCAUAAAAAGAACGUGGAAAAUAUAUUUUGAUUGUCAGUUGAAAUUUUGAUGUUAUUUUCCAGUGCAAACCACCAGGUGUGAGUCACUGUUUUACAGUUUAUCUAGACCUCUAGGACUUCGUGUUGACUAAUCCUAAGUAUGGAUAUUUACUAAUUAGAGGUAAUUUUGAACAGUCCCAACUACUUGAGGGUGUAUAUCAAAAUAUUCGAAUCAAACAUAAUGCCAAAUCUUCAAAGUUUUCUUCAAAACUGAGAAGGAAUCAUAUCUGAGAUAUACUCGGAACGAACACUAGGAAAAUUGAAUAAACAAUAAUGUAAAGUAGUAGUUUGAUGAAUUGGAGAAACGAAUAUAUAACAAAAAUUCGGGAAUAUCUCAAUGAAGGAAGACAAAUCUAUCACCAGGAUGAAACAUGGUUGGACAGCCACGAUACUUUUCGUGAAUUCUGGACAAAUGAUUAUUGGAAAUGUAAAACAGAAGCACUCCAAAAAUUCACACUGUAAUAUGGUUCCAACUAAAAAGAGAGACCAACUGGAACUAAUAAUCAAAGAAUGUUCAAAUAGUAGCACCGAGAAUUGGAGAAGUGCCAUAAAUCACGUAAAACGAGUUAAAAAUCGAUAUGUACCAGUUUUAAAUAGACUUGUAAUUGAUUUAACCGACAGAGAUUCUGAGGAAGAUGAAUGUGAAGCCAGUGAUUUAUUUGUAUUGCAGUAUUUAUACUGGAAAUAAAGACUAUAGGGAAAAUUUGCUAAUUCACAAUUUUCCAGGAAAUUGUAGUUUUAUUAUAUUACUGUUAUAAAAUAAUCACUGUAUUGAAUCUAUAUUACGGCAAUGCAAACAAGAAAAAACAAAAGAAUAGUAUUAACAGCUUUUUCUCCCAAAGAUUUUUUAGCUAUACCUUUCAUUAAAAAGUGUUAAGUAACUUGUUACAAAUAAAACUUUGAAGCAACAAAUUUAUCUUUGGAUUUAAUUUUACUGAAAUUAUAUUCGCUUGUUAUAUUAAAUACAACUUUUAAUGAUUCAUCAUGUACUUUUAUAAGCCGGUUAUGAUUUUAUAAAGUAGGAACAUCUGUGAUAAAAUUUGAUGCCUGGCAUUA